rnacentral:rRNA from 1 species
UACGGAGGGGGGCUAGCGUUGUUCGGAAUUACUGGGCGUAAAGCGCGCGUAGGCGGACCUGCAAGUCGGGGGUGAAAGCCCGAGGCUCAACCUCGGAACUGCCUUCGAUACUGCGGGUCUCGAGUCCGGGAGAGGUGAGUGGAAUUCCUAGUGUAGAGGUGAAAUUCGUAGAUAUCAGGAAGAACACCAAUGGCGAAAGCAGCUUUCUGGGACGGUACUGACGCUGAGACGCGAAAGCGUGGGGAGCGAACAGG